rnacentral:lncRNA from 1 species
UAAGAUCAUAAUCUGAAAUAUAGUUUUGCAUCAUCAGAUAAAGUUUAAAAUAAUAAAAUAAGAAUGAAUAUAUCAAGUGUCAACAUGUCAUCCAAGUACUAUGUACACAAAGCUCUAGUGUGUUGAUCUGUGUCUUAAACAAAUCUUAAGGUCGAUUACACCCUAGAGUAGUGUCAUUUAACCAAAAAAACAAAAGUAUAACUUCUAACGGAAAAAGUAAAAGUGAUAUCUCCAAAAUGCUAAAUCUUGCGAACAGCUUUUAUCUUUUACAAGGAAAGUUGUGAUGCAUAUGCAUUACACAUAUCCUGAGAUAAGAAUAUAACUUAUGAAGAGGAACCAUUGAGAAAAACCCAAGAAAUCUAACAACAAAAAAGAAACCAUAUCAUCCACCCCAAAGAGGGGUUCUUAAUAUUAGCUGCAUUAUUAGCUUCAACUGUCUGUUCGGCAACAAGCCAACAACUUCACUCGUGCAAAACAGAUAGCUCUCUAAACCUCCUGCUCAUCCAAAGUAACAUAAACAAAAAUCAAGUAAGAGUAAUUGAAUUAUUAAGUAAGAGUAAUUGAAUUUGAGAUGCUACUAUCAUUCUUAAGAAGAAAUCUAGGAAACAUUUACACAUCUUUUCAAAUAAAGGCAUGGAAGAAAAAUGGUGAAUAAUAAGACGUAGAGAGGGGAUACAACCUUAUGUUUCGCGAAAGCAGGACUACGAAGAUUCCUCUCUCACUACAGCUCUUUGUCCCUUCCCUCCCCUGAUAUACCCCUAUUAUUUCAAAAUGUAUUUUACAAGUUAAGAAAAUAACAAACUAUCUGGAUAUUAGUAGCGGUCGACCAUCGUAAUGGACCCAAAAUAAAUGCGUCCAUCAAGAAUGAAAUGCAUGGAGUAAAAAGAAUGUAGAUACUACCAUCAUAUUUCCUCUCUGAUUUUAUAAAGUAAGGAUACUAACCACUUAAAAUAUCAUUCCGGCUCAUUAGCGGAAACAUAAGUGACCAAGAAUCAUUGCUCAUUUUAAAUGCAAGUGCAAUAUUUAAUAUAAAGAGCUUCACAUUUUGGUUCACUCGACUCUCCUAUCUUGAGUAACAUUAUGAGAAACUUAGCCAUGUGGUUCGAUUUAAGGCAUGCCCCUUUUUUUUUGGUGGCAGCUAGCUUAGUAGAAUCUCUAUUCUCAAAAUAGAAUAACGUUUUUUUGGUACAGUGCACAAAUCAUGUGUGUGCAUUCAUUGGCAUGUGAAACUCGAUUACAAGGAAUAUUGGAGAGUGAAGAUUACUAUAACAAACUUCAAUUACCGAAUGAAUUAUACACAAUGGAACUUAUACACAAUGAAACUUAGUUGUCCAACAUCUAAACUUCGAUAACCUCACUAUGUCAUUCAGCUUUAAUUACAAAUCAGUGACUCCUUAUGGAGCUAUUAGUAAGUCCUCAAUCUGAUUGUAAAUACUCUGACCUUUAGUUGCUAUUAUUUCAUUUGUGAAUCAGAUAAAAUAAUAGUUUCUCUGUCCGGAUGAUAAUAUUCUCGCUGUAGCUUUUUUCAUAUAGAGUAAGAAAAGUUGAAGUAAUUCAUGUUUAUCUAUUAUCUCUUUAUGAAAGAAGAAGGCUUUGUAGGAGUUGUUUGAAGGCACCUAAAGUUGGAAGGUAAUUUUGGAGAGAAAACAUCUAGUUUUAGAAUGUGAGUAUUUGUGGGAUAUACUAAAAAGGAUCUACUUCUACUUUGUUAUUUAAGCUACAACUGACAUUACUUUGGGUUGUUACUGCACUCAAAUUUUUGAUACCUGAAUAUACCUAGAGGAUCAGUUGAGAUUUUGAAAAUGAUAUGACUAACCUUAUUGAUGUUUUUGCAGAUGACACUAUUAUGCUAAGGGGUGUGAAAUUCUACAAUGAUCUAUUCAUGCAGUGGGAGCUGAUUCAUCGGCUGGAAGAUUACAUAAGAACUUUGAGCUUCAAAAAUUUGUAAAUAUGGAAUGAGGGUAAAUGCAUUGUAAAUAACGAAUUCACACAUAUCUAUCAAUUCCCUUUGUCUAACAUUUAAAUUUUUCCUAAGUAAGAGCUUAAGUUCCCUCUUUAUUCAAUUUGAAUCUCCCUUUAAACAUAGUCGUUAUCAUAUAUUCUGGACUUUCCAGAGCACAAACUCAAUUCUGAUUCCUAAUAGUAUCGGGCUUUCGUCUAAUCUAAAUUUCAUACCACACAUCAUAAUUUCUGCUAAUAAGAUGUAAAACUUCAUCCAAACUCAUGUACAGCUAGAUAGAAGAGCCAUAUCAACAAUAUUUGUAUACAUGUGGUCAUUAUUUAUAUUUUUUAUUUUUUUGUGAGGUCGAAGGAAAUUGAUCUUUGUCUAGUGAGAUAUAGAUAAUUAUAAUUUAAAAGAAUUUCUAGUGGUAGGGGUACGAUUUCCUUCCUAUAGCAAUGUAAGGAAUAGAAAAUAUUUUUUUCCCUGUUGUUCUUUCUAUUCGUGCAAUUCAUAUGGUACUUUAUCUUAUAAUCAUGUUAACUUUUAUUCAUGAUUGAUUUAACUUUCGUUUAUCAUUAAGACUACAAGGAUCUAAAAAGGAGCCUAAAAUUGGAAUAAGAAAAAUAGAGAUGAAAGUAAACAUUAUAAAAUGUCUAGAAGAGCUUUUCAAAAACUCUUCACGAAAUCCAUAAGCAGGUCAUUUAGAUCUAAAGGAGGAGGUGAAAGACGAAUGCUAGAGUACUGACAAUUGAUGUUAUAUUUAUUCUCAAAUAUAGAGCUUCCUUCUUACACUUGGAUAACUCAUGAACCAUCAAUUUGCUUUACGGUUCAUUUCUGCACACCAUCUGCAGGAGGUUGUCUUUUUAUAGCUUUCGACCACUGUGGAUUGUAUCGUAAGCAAUAGCAAAAUACAAGCUUAAUAAUCAGGAGAUUCCUCCAAAGAUAUCAAAAUCUAGACUAAAUCAACUAUAAAAGAAUUAUAUUUAAGUAGUCAACCAGAUAAUGUAAAUAUAGUGAAGUUAGAAUGAAUUCUCUGACCAAAUCAAAAGAGCAGAAUGAGCACAGAUGAUGCACACAAUCCACCCAAUAGCAAUCAGUGGCGGAGUCCGAAUUUUGAAUAAGGGGAUUCAAAAAAAUGUAAGAAUGUCAUAAAUAAGAUAUGAACUUAUGUCAAGGAGGCUCAAUGGUUGGUAUAUACAAAGAAAUUUGUUUUUAUCCUUUUUUCAAAUUGUAACUUUCCACCUGAGGGGAUUCAAUUGAACCCCUUCACCAAAGGUAGCUACAUCCAUCAGUGGGAUUAACCAUUGCGCAAGACCAGGGUAAGCGCAUGAAAUUUCAACAAGGUCAAACUCAAAUCCAAUUCUCUCUUGGACGGCAACUACUCUGAAGGUUUCAGCAAAAUAGGUAUCUACAUCUAAUUUUUUUUUGAUUUGCACCAGGUGUCUGAGUCUCUAUGAGACCCGACUAAUCCCGGGGGUGCGCAGGCCCUCGACAAGGAGUUUCCCGAAAGUGCACCACGGUUAAUUCAGGUUUUAUCUAGUCCGAUGGCCCUCGAAAAUUAUUUGCACCUAUUGGGUUUCGAACUUGAGACCUUGAAAGGGAGCAAACCCCAAGGCUCAAGUCAAUUGCCACCAGGCCAACCCCUGAGGGUUUAUCUACAUCUAAAAUCAAUGAUAAGAAAUUUCUAAUUAGUCAAAUAAUUAAAUUACAAUGCAUCAUGUGAGGCUCUGACUAAAUCAACGGAACAAAGUGGAUGUAGAUGAUUCAUAGAACAAUAAAUUAGUUCACAUAUAAACCAUUAGGUAGUAGUUAAAAGUUGCCGAGCCCGCUGCGGUCCAUUAACGCAGCCACAUAAAUCUAAAGAAGGAGAAGAAAUACGAAGAGUACUCACCUUUCAGUCACCAGACAGAAAGAUAGCAGAAAAGUGAAGCUGCAAAAAAAAAGGUGGAAACCCAAGCAAAACAGAGGCUGUUUCACAAUUUAUUGGGCGAUAUCAGCUAACCAGUGCGGUAAAUUAUCCGAAAUAAUGUUGAGGUUAAAGAGCAAAUUUGCAGAAGCAAGGGGUACCAAAGUAAACAAACUUCAAGAGAUAAUGUUAAUUGCAGAUACCCACCAAAAACGUAGGUGGUGCUGAGAGAGAAGAACAGGUCACAACGCCAAAAGCAAGAACCAGUUUAUCUUCCACGUCGGAAACGGAGGAGACGACGAAAAGGCGCGAGUACCCAAGAGAGAGAAACAGAGCACGGAGGAAAAGGAAAAGAAUUC